GUCCCCGAACCCUAUUUUCCCUCGAAUAAAUUUUUUGCGCCGCCAUCCCGUUCUCCUUCCCCCGCCUUCCUUUCCCCCGUGCGAAUAUCCGCCAUAAAAUCCCACCGGAAGAGCAAGCAGCAGAGCCCACCACCGCGCCACGGUCGACCUACCGCGCAGGACCACCGAGCCCCUCCCUUCCCCCGUGGCCGCUGCGGAUCCCCUUUCCUCUGCCUUCUCUCCCCCCGUCAGCUCCUCUUCCGUGCGUGCGGCGGGCGAUGGCGGCGGCGGCGGCGGCGGCGGACACUUCCGCGGCUUCCACGACCGGGCUCGCGCUCUCGGAGGCGAGCAUCAACUGGGAGAGGUUGGACAAGACAAAGUUUCAUGUCAUUGGAGCAAUCCUAUUUACGGCCCAGCAAGGUGUUCUGCACCCAACAGCUGUUGUGAAGACUAGAAUGCAGGUUGCCGAAGGAGGACUUUCACAUAUGUCUGGCUUUGUCGUUUUUAGAAAGAUAUUGAGGAGUGAUGGCAUCCCUGGUGUUUUCAGAGGAUUUGGCACCAGUGCAGUUGGAGCUCUGCCUGGACGAAUCUUGGCUCUAACUUCACUAGAGAUAUCCAAAGAAAUGGCAUUUAAAUACUCUGAGCAUUUCGAUAUGUCCGAGGCAUCAAGGAUUGCUGUUGCUAAUGGUGUAGCAGGCUUAGUGUCAAGUACCUUUUCAAGUUCAUAUUCUGUACCCCUAGAUGUGGUUUGUCAGAGACUCAUGGUUCAGGGAUUGCCAGGGAUGCAAACAUAUAGAGGCCCAUUUGAUGUGAUAAAUAAGGUUGUCAGGAGUGAAGGCCUCCGGGGCCUUUACCGAGGUUUUGGAAUUACCCUUUUAACUCAAUCACCAGCUUCUGCCCUUUGGUGGAGUUCAUAUGGUGGGGCUCAACAUGCUAUCUGGAGGAGCUUGGGCUACGGAAAUGGUACGCAGAAGAAACCCUCCCAUACAGAACUUGUUGCUGUGCAAGCAACAGCUGGAACAAUUGCUGGAGCUUGCUCAUCGAUUAUCACUACACCAAUAGAUACCAUCAAGACCCGGCUUCAGGUAAUGGACAACUACGGGAGUGGAAGGCCAUCCGUCAUGAAAACUACGAGGCUGCUCCUGCGAGAAGAUGGCUGGAGAGGUUUAUACCGAGGGUUUGGACCACGCUUUCUUAACAUGUCUCUUUGGGGUACAUCAAUGAUUGUCACAUACGAGCUAAUAAAAAGACUUUCUGUGAAACCUGAACAAUGAGCCUCUUGGCUUCUGCUCCACCUAUCUGGUCAUCAUUUCCGUUUUGGCCAUCUAGUGAAUUCCUUUUGGUACAGGGAUUGGCAUGUAACACCGCUCGGAAAUUCUUGAUGCAAGUCCCCUUAUAAAGUCUGACAUGUUUCUGUACGGAACUACCCUGUAAAUACCUCCAUGUGCUGAAGGGUGCUCGUUUCAGAUGAGAGCCAGAGGAUCGAUCUGGGUACCGGAGCACCUUGUAGUUGUUGAGCAAAAAAAUUCCCUGCAAGUGCUGAAGGGUGCUCGUUUCAGGACGAGAGCCAGAGGCUUGAUCUGGGUACUGAGCACCUUGUAGUUGUUCAGCAGAAAUUCCAGAAACAUAGUUUUGUGUCUUCCCAUCUACUCCCUCCGUUCGGAAUUACUUGUCACAAAAAGGAUGUAUCUGUAACUAAAAUACAUCUAGAUACAUUCAUUUUUGGACGAGUAAUUCCGAACGGAGGGAGUAAUUGGCAUAGUUACCCCAGCUUGAAUUUUCAAUUUUGCAUUACUUUUGUAGCUCACUUCUUGGGAUGAGAUGUGGCAUGUCCAAAUCAAUUUAGCAUCAUCAGUGAGGUGGUAGGCUGCAAUGUAUACCUUGUCGAAUGUCAGCAUUCUACAGUGAGAGGUAGAUACUUCCUUUAAUGUUUGUCCUACAUGACUAAUACCAUUGUUACUUAGUAUAUUUUUUGUUAUUCUUGGC
rnacentral:rRNA from 1 species